rnacentral:rRNA from 1 species
CUAGCAUAUCAAUAAGCGGAGGAAAAGAAACCAACAGGGAUUGCCUUUAGUAACGGCGAGUGAAGCGGCAACAGCUCAAAUUUGAAAUCUGGCCCUUUGGGUCCGAAUUGUAAUUUGUAGAGGAUGAUUUUGGUGCGGUAUCUUCCGAGUUCCUUGGAACAGGACGCCUUAGAGGGUGAGAGCCCCGUACGGUUGAAUGCCUAGCCUCUGUAAAUCUCCUUCGACGAGUCGAGUAGUUUGGGAAUGCUGCUCUAAAUGGGAGGUAAAUUUCUUCUAAAGCUAAAUAUUGGCCAGAGACCGAUAGCGCACAAGUAGAGUGAUCGAAAGAUGAAAAGCACUUUGAAAAGAGGGUUAAAUAGCACGUGAAAUUGUUGAAAGGGAAGGAUUUGUGACCAGACUUUUUCUGGGCGGAUCAUCCGGGGUUCUCUCCGGUGCACUUCGCCCAGUAAAGGCCAGCAUCGGUUUUCGGCGUGGGAUAAAAGCAGUAGGAAUGUGGCUCUCUACGGGGAGUGUUAUAGCCUAUUGUAUAAUACCGCGCUGGGGACCGAGGUUCGCGCUUCUGCAAGGAUGCUGGCGUAAUGGUUAUCAAUCACCCGUCUUGAAACACGGACCAAGGAGUCGAACAUUUGUGCGAGUGUUUGGGUGUUAAACCCUCACGCGUAAUGAAAGUGAACGGAGGUGAGAGCCCUUACGGGUGCAUCAUCGACCGAUCCUGAAGUUUUCGGAUGGAUUUGAGUAAGAGCAUAACUGUUCGGACCCGAAAGAUGGUGAACUAUGCGUGGAUAGGGUGAAGCCAGAGGAAAACUCUGGUGGAGGCUCGCAGCGGUUCUGACGUGCAAAUCGAUCGUCAAAUCUGCGCAUGGGGGGCGAAAGACUAAUCGAACCAUCUAGUAGCUGGUUACCGCCGAU